CCAAAGCUGAGCAGCUUCAAGAUGCCCAUAGCGGCUUGAAAAUUGAAGGGCGCUCG
rnacentral:tRNA from 1 species